UGGCGGACGGGUGAGUAACGCGUGGGAAACCUGCCCUGUACCGGGGGAUAACACUUAGAAAUAGGUGCUAAUACCGCAUAAGCGCACAGCUUCACAUGAGGCAGUGUGAAAAACUCCGGUGGUACAGGAUGGUCCCGCGUCUGAUUAGCCAGUUGGCAGGGUGACGGCCUACCAAAGCGACGAUCAGUAGCCGGCCUGAGAGGGUGAACGGCCACAUUGGGACUGAGACACGGCCCAAACUCCUACGGGAGGCAGCAUG
rnacentral:rRNA from 1 species